UGAUGACCUGCACCACCUGAAGCUCCAGUGUUCCACUGAAUGAAAAAGCACCCAGAUCAUGAUGGACCCCCCUCCACUGUGCCGGGUAGAAAACAUCUCAGGUGGGAUCUCCUUGUCAUGCCAGUAACGUUGGAAGCCAUCUGGACCGUCAAGAUGCCGUCUGAUGGUUAUUGCGCUGCAGUCGGCACCAGUAAGGGCCUUAAUUUGGGUCGAGGACCGCCCUGUGUCUUGACGGACAGCCAAUCGGAUCCUCCGGCUCAGCGCAGGUGUAAUUUUUUUGGGUCUACCACUUGACUUUUUUGUUCCAUAAUGCUCAGGAUCUUUCAAAAAAUUUAGAAUGACUGUCUUACUGCGUCCAACCUCAGCAGCAAUGGCAUGCUGCGAGAGGCCUUGCUUAUGCAGCUCUACGAUCCGACCACGUUCAAGAAGAGAAAGGUUCUUAGCUUUAGCCAUCAGGAGGGCAUGACCAUGUGAAUGCCUGACAGAAGAUGAGAAUUUUGAGCAGAUUUGGGCUUUUAUAGCCUGUGGUCUUAAACUUUUGAUCAGCUGAUAAACAGCCUAUUUCAGUUUACUUGUUGUUUUCAAUAAAUUACUUUUUCAAAGUG